GCUGGGCACAGUGGUGCAUGCCUGUAAUCCCAGUGGCUCAGGAGGCUGAGGCAAGAGGAUCGUGAGUUCAAAACAAUUCAGUGAGACCCUGAUUCUA
rnacentral:sRNA from 1 species